CCAAAAGCUGGGUGUGCCUUUGGCAAGUGGACCUGGAAGGUCAGCAAGGCCUAGGCUGUGCUUUUGCUAAAUGUUGUUUGUUUCUGGAGUAGGGAUACCCAGAGGGUGGAUAAAGCGUGUUUGUGGUGCUAUGUGAAAAUUAAAACCAGCAACUGAGUUAAUCUCUGGAAUAAAUACUUGUUGUGGAACUGUUUCAGGAACUGCACUGGUUUGAAAUAUUCUGGAUUGAUUCCCUGCUGUUGACUUGUGAAGAGGCAGUUCAGGCUGAGAGAACCAUCAUUGCUGUGGUGCUGGAGCCCUUGGUCAGUGCAGG
rnacentral:lncRNA from 12 species